UACGGAGGGUGCGAGCGUUGUCCGGAAUCACUGGGCGUAAAGGGCGCGUAGGCGGCGCGGGUAGUCAUCGGUGAAAGUUCAGGGCUCAACUCUGAAUCGGCCGGUGAUACUCCCGUGCUCGAGCACUGUAGAGGCAGGUGGAAUUCCGGGUGUAGCGGUGGAAUGCGUAGAGAUCCGGAAGAACACCCGUGGCGAAGGCGGUUCUCUGGGACGGUACUGACGCUGAGACGCGAAAGCGUGGGGAGCGAACAGG
rnacentral:rRNA from 1 species